rnacentral:rRNA from 1 species
UACCGAGGGGGCAAGCGUUGUUCGGAAUUACUGGGCGUAAAGGGCGCGUAGGCGGCCGCCUAAGUCAGACGUGAAAUCCCUCGGCUCAACCGGGGAACUGCGUCUGAUACUGGGUGGCUUGAAUCCGGGAGAGGGAUGCGGAAUUCCAGGUGUAGCGGUGAAAUGCGUAGAUAUCUGGAGGAACACCGGUGGCGAAGGCGGCAUCCUGGACCGGCAUUGACGCUGAGGCGCGAAAGCCAGGGGAGCAAACGGG